UUGCUCUUAUGAAGUUAGCGGCGGACGGGUGAGUAACACGUGGGUAACCUGCCCAUAAGACUGGGAUAACUCCGGGAAACCGGGGCUAAUACCGGAUAACAUUUUGAACCGCAUGGUUCGAAAUUGAAAGGCGGCUUCGGCUGUCACUUAUGGAUGGACCCGCGUCGCAUUAGCUAGUUGGUGAGGUAACGGCUCACCAAGGCAACGAUGCGUAGCCGACCUGAGAGGGUGAUCGGCCACACUGGGACUGAGACACGGCCCAGACUCCUACGGGAGGCAGCAGUAGGGAAUCUUCCGCAAUGGACGAAAGUCUGACGGAGCAACGCCGCGUGAGUGAUGAAGGCUUUCGGGUCGUAAAACUCUGUUGUUAGGGAAGAACAAGUGCUAGUUGAAUAAGCUGGCACCUUGACGGUACCUAACCAGAAAGCCACGGCUAACUACGUGCCAGCAGCCGCGGUAAUACGUAGGUGGCAAGCGUUAUCCGGAAUUAUUGGGCGUAAAGCGCGCGCAGGUGGUUUCUUAAGUCUGAUGUGAAAGCCCACGGCUCAACCGUGGAGGGUCAUUGGAAACUGGGAGACUUGAGUGCAGAAGAGGAGAGUGGAAUUCCAUGUGUAGCGGUGAAAUGCGUAGAGAUAUGGAGGAACACCUGUGGCGAAGUCGACUUUCUGGUCUGUAACUGACACUGAGGCGCGACAGCCUGGAGAGCAACCUGCAUAAGAUACUCUGGUAGUUCACCGCCGAAAACUAUGAGUGCUCAGGUGUAAAAGGGUUUCCGCUCUUUAGCGCUGAAGUUUACCCGUUUACCACUCCCGCCCGGGGAUACCGCC
rnacentral:rRNA from 1 species